AACGAACGCUGGCGGCAUGCCUAACACAUGCAAGUCGAACGAGACCUUCGGGUCUAGUGGCGCACGGGUGCGUAACGCGUGGGAACCUGCCCUUAGGUUCGGAAUAACUCCCCGAAAGGGGUGCUAAUACCGGAUAAUUUCUUCGGACCAAAGAUUUAUCGCCUUUGGAUGGGCCCGCGUUGGUUUAGCUAGUUGGUAGGGUAAAAGCCUACCAAGGCGACGAUCCAUAGCUGGUCUGAGAGGAUGAUCAGCCACACUGGGACUGAGACACGGCCCAGACUCCUACGGGAGGCAGCAGUGGGGAAUAUUGGACAAUGGGCGAAAGCCUGAUCCAGCAAUGCCGCGUGAGUGAUGAAGGCCUUAGGGUUGUAAAGCUCUUUUACCCGGGAUGAUAAUGACAGUACCGGGAGAAUAAGCUCCGGCUAACUCCGU
rnacentral:rRNA from 1 species